rnacentral:rRNA from 1 species
GACGAACGCUGGCGGCGUGCCUAACACAUGCAAGUCGAGCGGGGACUUAGGUGCUUGCACCUGGGUUCUAGCGGCGGACGGGUGAGUAACGCGUGAGCAACCUGCCUCAAACUGGGGGGAUAACGCAUCGAAAGAUGUGCUAAUACCGCGUAAGACCACGCUACCACAUGGUAGAGGGGUCAAAGGAGCAAUCCGGUUUGAGACGGGCUCGCGUCCGAUUAGCUAGUUGGCGGGAUAACAGCCCACCAAGGCGACGAUCGGUAGCCGACCUGAGAGGGUGAUCGGCCACAUUGGAACUGAGAUACGGUCCAG